UACGUAGGGGGCAAGCGUUGUCCGGAAUUAUUGGGCGUAAAGAGCUCGUAGGCGGUUUGUCGCGUCUGCUGUGAAAACUCAGGGCUUAACUCUGAGCUUGCAGUGGGUACGGGCAGACUAGAGUGCGGUAGGGGAGACUGGAAUUCCUGGUGUAGCGGUGAAAUGCGCAGAUAUCAGGAGGAACACCGGUGGCGAAGGCGGGUCUCUGGCCCGUAACUGACGCUGAGGAGCGAAAGCGUGGGGAGCAAACAGG
rnacentral:rRNA from 1 species